AUUGAACGCUGGCGGCAGGCCUAACACAUGCAAGUCGAACGAGUGGCGGACGGUGAGUAAUGUCUGGGAAACUGGCCCGUGGGAGGGGAUAACUACCGGAAACGGUAGCUAAAACCGCAUUCCAUCGGGUUGGGCCAGAUGGGAUUAGGUAGGAGGGGGGGUAACGGCUCACCUAGGCGACGAUCCCGAGCUGGUCUGAGAGGAUGACCAGCACCACUGGAACUGAGACACGGUCCAGACUCCUACGGGAGGCAGCAUUGGGGAAUAUUGCACAAUGGGCGCAAGCCUGAUGCAGCCAUGCCGCGUGUAUGAAGAAGGCCUUCGGGUUGUAAAGUACUUUCAGCGAGGAGGCGUUACUCGCAGAAGAAGCAUCGGCUAACUCCGUGCCAGCAGCCGCGGUAAUAC
rnacentral:rRNA from 1 species